GAAGCGAAAAGGGAAAAGUGCCUUCGUGCACAUCCCUAGUAGGGAACCCAGGCAUUGCAAUCCCAUAACAUCUGGAGGACCCUUGUUGGCCAGCUCUGCUCUAGAUUGUUCAGACCUAAGCUAAAGACGCAAGUUGGCCUUUCUGCUUUUUCCUGUUCAAUAAAACUACCACUCCCUGUGUCANUCGCAAUUCCUUACUUCCAGAGGUUCUAACCUCUCCAUAUCUAGAUUCAGUCCAUACCUGUAGCUCUUAUUCUCUCUNCAGAGCAUNAUGCCCUUUUGUGUCGCUACCAGUAUGACCAGCAACUAUUAUAACAAUUGGAUGAUUACACCAGAGCGUUUCGUUGCUCAGGCCUUGAACAUUGUGGGGAUUACGGAGAGAAGCAGCGGGUGCCUCAGGCACUCUAUUGCGGCCUCCGUUGUGAAUUUGGUUCCAAUGUGGAUCCGGCUGUCGUCGCUUAACGUCUUCAUGAUGUCCUUUGUUCUCGGAUUAUUUUUGAGGAACAAGUAGCCUNCCUUCCUUACAAUUCUAUGGGNGCCUCACUGGAAUGGAAGGACAGAAGAUAUUCGCUCCACCGCUUUAAAACCUGAAGCAAAUAUACGCGAUGUGCUAGAGUUCCGGCUUCAUUUAAUUAAAUCUUAACCAGCUACGCUUUAAUUGAUUAAUUGAGUUNUGGCUGAUUUAUAAAUAGUGAACAUUUUGAAAGAAAUAUGCCNGAGGGGGUAUUUUUGACAGCUCUNUGUCUUACGGUGGGAUUUUUAAUCUCUCUUGCAUGGCACGUGCAGUGGGAGAAGGGUGUGUGUGNANGUGUGUGGUAUGUGGUGUGUGUGNGCGUGUGUGUGACUAGAACAAAUCCAUUAAAGAAGAAAGGAUACAUGAUAACCUGGAUAGGAAAACAGGCGCCUUGUGCCGUUUAGCUACAUGUUGCAGAAUGCCAGAAAUGGGAUUCCAGCUUUGGAAGCAGGGAGAACAGGACCAUUAGGCAGGGACAGAAAAGUCUGGAAGUUUUCCAGGGCUGAAAACUUCACCGGGCAAGACAGGACGCAGCUGAUAAACAAGCAUGAAGGAAGCAAGCCAAAGUUCAAGCCAAUCAGGCCGUUAAUGAGAUCAGAAAUAAGAAACAAAUCCUAAUUCCGAGUCUUGCCUCAUUUCAAGAUAAAGUCAUCCCUUG
ensembl:lncRNA